GGGUUGUGAGGUUAAGCGACUAAGCGUACACGGUGGAUGCCCUGGCAGUCAGAGGCGAUGAAGGACGUGCUAAUCUGCGAUAAGCGUCGGUAAGGUGAUAUGAACCGUUAUAACCGGCGAUUUCCGAAUGGGGAAACCCAGUGUGAUUCGUCACACUAUCAUUAACUGAAUCCAUAGGUUAAUGAGGCGAACCGGGGGAACUGAAACAUCUAAGUACCCCGAGGAAAAGAAAUCAACCGAGAUUCCCCCAGUAGCGGCGAGCGAACGGGGAGGAGCCCAGAGCCUGAAUCAGUGUGUGUGUUAGUGGAAGCGUCUGGAAAGGCGCGCGAUACAGGGUGACAGCCCCGUACACAAAAAUGCACAUACUGUGAGCUCGAUGAGUAGGGCGGGACACGUGGUAUCCUGUCUGAAUAUGGGGGGACCAUCCUCCAAGGCUAAAUACUCCUGACUGACCGAUAGUGAACCAGUACCGUGAGGGAAAGGCGAAAAGAACCCCGGCGAGGGGAGUGAAAAAGAACCUGAAACCGUGUACGUACAAGCAGUGGGAGCCUCUUUAUGGGGUGACUGCGUACCUUUUGUAUAAUGGGUCAGCGACUUAUAUUCUGUAGCAAGGUUAACCGAAUAGGGGAGCCGAAGGGAAACCGAGUCUUAACUGGGCGUUAAGUUGCAGGGUAUAGACCCGAAACCCGGUGAUCUAGCCAUGGGCAGGUUGAAGGUUGGGUAACACUAACUGGAGGACCGAACCGACUAAUGUUGAAAAAUUAGCGGAUGACUUGUGGCUGGGGGUGAAAGGCCAAUCAAACCGGGAGAUAGCUGGUUCUCCCCGAAAGCUAUUUAGGUAGCGCCUCGUGAAUUCAUCUCCGGGGGUAGAGCACUGUUUCGGCAAGGGGGUCAUCCCGACUUACCAACCCGAUGCAAACUGCGAAUACCGGAGAAUGUUAUCACGGGAGACACACGGCGGGUGCUAACGUCCGUCGUGAAGAGGGAAACAACCCAGACCGCCAGCUAAGGUCCCAAAGUCAUGGUUAAGUGGGAAACGAUGUGGGAAGGCCCAGACAGCCAGGAUGUUGGCUUAGAAGCAGCCAUCAUUUAAAGAAAGCGUAAUAGCUCACUGGUCGAGUCGGCCUGCGCGGAAGAUGUAACGGGGCUAAACCAUGCACCGAAGCUGCGGCAGCGAC
rnacentral:rRNA from 1 species